UUAGCUUUACCACCCUGAACCCAUCCAUGCAGGCCUGCAGAGCACAGAUGGGGUCGAUUUCGGUAAUGUAGACAAUUGCUCCAAGAGCUUUGAGAGCAGCACAGCAGCCCUUGCCUACCUCACCAUAGCCACACACCACCACUUGUUUCCCACCAAACAUCACAUCUGUGGUCCUCUUCAGGCCAUCCAAAAUGGAUUCUCG
rnacentral:misc_RNA from 1 species